GGAGGGCAGAAGUCCCAAGUGCCCUUCGCCCGGAGACUUCCCAGCACAGCGGCGAGGGUGUGACUGCAGUCCAGUUUCAGGAAUCAGAGCCCCAGCCUGCUGUAACCAGAUGGGCCGCCACCUUCUGUUUGAAAUGUGACUUGCCUGCAGAGAUUGGGAUUCUUGUUCUCUGGAAGAGGAACCAAGCAGUCAUGCCUGAUCUUGGGAGGAGACUUGAAGUUUAGGGUCAAAGGUUAAGGGGCAGCAGCUGGUCUGGUCCCUGGAGGUGUUAAUCAGAGGCGCCUGGGUGGACACAGGCCCAAAUCAGAAGUAGAGGGUGGCUUUCUAGAUAUUCAAAGAUGGCAACUUUAAGAUCUGUAGUGGCUUUGUAAUUUGAUGCUUUUAUUCUGUUUUCAAAUUAAAAGGAGGCACAGCAACGUUGAUAAUA